UUAGAAUAAACAAAUUUAUGGAAAUUGGGAAGAGGAAACUUACCCACUCCCAUUAGGCUAGUUUUCUAUAGGGUUAGAUAAAAGGGAAAGAAAAAAAAUAGAGAGCAUUAUGCUCUUGGUGUCGUCGGCCUAGUGAGAGAAAGAGAGAGAGAGUGGACGAGUUAGAGAGAGAAAGAGAAGAAGGAGGAGAAAAAGAAGAAGAAAAAGGGUUCAAUCUUAGGGUUUUCUUCUUCUCUUCAUGUGGGUUUUCGAAAACCCUAGGCUUGAACAAGGGGUGAUUAUAGUUUGAGUAUUGGUCACUUUGGGUGUUCUUGAUUUUACAAUCAAGAGAGAUUUCGAGACCUGAGAUUGUGACCUCGAAAGCUGGACUCGUCAAGUGUGAGCUCGAGAUAUAUAAAACACAUGUUCAUGGUCCAAAUGUCAAAACCUCGGAGCAAGACGGAAACCUCAAAGACAUGUAGCCUCGGGA